UCCCCGGGGCGCUCCAUCCAUCACUCUCCGCCUCCCAUUGGACGCUUCAGGGAAGGCGGGCCCUGCCUCCAACUACCUCGUUCCCAUUGGAUCGCCGCCACGUCACUCCGGGGGGUUGUCCUCACCUCUGGCCUGUGAUUGGGCGAGCGACAUGAAACGCGCCAUGGCAACGCUGACAGGUGACGCCACAUCCAGAGGCGCCCGCCCCCCCCCUUCACGUGACCUCGUCCCGGGUUCUUGGAUGUGCACUGACCUGUCUGUCAAGAGCAGUGGUGUUAGAAAUGAUUGUACACCAGUCCAUGGUUACAUAUGACCAUUAUUUUCCACAGCAGGCUGUCUGGCCUGCUGAUUGUUUCCCGAAAAAGACACAAAAUGCUGGAGUCAGGCAGUGGGUGAGGCAGCAUCUCUGGAGAACAUGGAGAGGUGACAUUCCUGGUCAGGACCUUUCUUCAGACUGAUUUGGACAACAUUUCCAACAUUAUCUGCUGACUUAAAACUAACGUGGACGUUUCAGCUUUCUUCUCGCAAGUACCCAUGGAGAUUUCAUGAAGGUAGCUUUAAGGUGAGAGAAGCAUAAUUUAAAGGAGAUGUGUGAGCCGUGUUUUUCACGGUUUGCGGUGGGUGCCUGGAAUGCGCAACCUGGGGUGAUGGUUGAGACAGUCACGAUAGUGGAAUUUAAGAGGCUUUUAGAGAGCCAUUUGGCUAUGCAGGGAAUGAAGGGAUGUGGACCAUGUGCAAGCAGGGAAGAUUAGUUUAACCUGGCAUCAUUUUCAGUCCAAAAUAUUAUGGGCCAAAGGCCUGUUCCUGGCCUAUGUACGUAUUUGUACCAGAUGCCGAUUCCUAUUGCUCUCAGCACUUAAUAUCAUGUUUCUUCAUUUACAUUUCUCCAAUCACUCCACACCCACAGUGGAAACUGAGCUCAUUUUCUUAUUAUGUCAUGUAAGUCAUAGAACAAGGCCCAUCAGCCCACUGACCACCAAGUACCUAUUUACGCUAAUCUUAGUUUAUUCUUCCCACUUCUCAGCAGCUCC